UGGGGAAUAUUGCACAAUGGACGGAAGUUUGAUGCAGCGACGCCGCGUGGAGGGCGUAGGCCUUCGGGUUGUGAACUCCUUUUUCUCGCGAAAAAGGCACAGUUUUGGCUGUGUUGUUGGUAGUGGGGGAAGAAGCGCCGGCUAACUACGUGCCAGCAGCCGCGGUAAUACGUAGGGCGCGAGCGUUGUCCGGAUUUAUUGGGCGUAAAGAGCUCGUAGGUGGUUCGUCGCGUCUGUCGUGAAAGCCAGCAGCUUAACUGUUGGUCUGCGGUGGGUACGGGCGGGCUUGAGUGCGGUAGGGGUGACUGGAAUUCCUGUUGUAGCGGUGGAAUGCGCAGAUAUCAGGAGGAACACCGAUGGCGAAGGCAGGUCACUGGGCCGUUACUGACACUGAGUAGCGAAAGCGUGGGGAGCGAACAGG
rnacentral:rRNA from 1 species